GCUGCUUUCUUUUUUGUACAUGUGAAGGUGUGAGGAGGCGCAAGAUGGCGCCUCCCCACUUCUCUGGGACUCUCUCUCUUUUUGACCUAACUUUCUUUUGAAUUCGAUUUAAAUAAGUAAGUAGAUCAGAUCUUUAUUAGUUUUGGGGUGUGGGGAAUUAUUUUUGUGCGACAAAAAUAAAAAGAAAAGGGGGCAUGCGUUAUUCGAUAGCGUGCAAAUUUCUGCAUGGUGAUUCUUUGCCGCAAGAGACAUCUCAGCACCUCCUUUUCUCUCCUUCUUCAUCCCAUGCCACACCUCCAAAUUUGAG
rnacentral:lncRNA from 1 species